UUGGAGGGCAAGUCUGGUGCCAGCAGCCGCGGUAAUUCCAGUUCCAAUAGCGUAUAUUAAAGUUGCUGCAGUUAAAAAGCUCGUAGUUGAAUUUCGGGACCAUCAUGUCGGUCGUGCCUAGGUACGUACUGGCAUUGUUGGUUUCUCCCUUCUGAUGAACCAUGAUGUCAUUUAUUUGGUGUUGUGGGGAAUCAGGACUGUUACUUUAGAAAAAUUGAGUGUUUAAAGCAGGCUCACGCUUGAAUACAUUAGCAUGGAAUAAUGAAAUAGGACGUUUGAUUCUAUUUUGUUGGUUUCUAGGAUCGACGUAAUGAUUAAUAGGGAUAGGUUGGGGGCAUUAGUAUUCAAUUGUCA
rnacentral:rRNA from 1 species